AAAAUAUAAAGACCUCUUUAGGAUGAGUUACUUUUGGGAUGAUUUCUAUAAAACAUACAAGUGAUGAUAAAAUAUGCUGAAAAGAUUUAUGUUGAUUUACGAGCACAAUCGAUAAUCUUGAAAUCAAUUAAGGUGGUUACAAAUGAUAUUAGAUCAGUGGACCUUUCACAAUAUAGGGUGUUCGAUGACAAAAUCAUACAGAAACUAGUUAGCAUAUGACUCUUGAUGAUUACGCUCACGAAGAUGAAG
rnacentral:lncRNA from 1 species